rnacentral:rRNA from 1 species
AUUGAACGCUGGCGGCAUGCUUUACACAUGCAAGUCGAACGGUAACAGGCCGCAAGGUGCUGACGAGUGGCGAACGGGUAGGUAAUGCAUCGGAACGUGCCCAGUCGUGGGGGAUAACGCAGCGAAAGCUGCGCUAAUACCGCAUACGAUCUAUGGAUGAAAGCGGGGGACCGUAAGGCCUCGCGCGAUUGGAGCGGCCGAUGUCAGAUUAGGUAGUUGGUGGGGUAAAGGCUCACCAAGCCAACGAUCUGUAGCUGGUCUGAGAGGACGACCAGCCACACUGGGACUGAGACACGGCCCAGACUCCUACGGGAGGCAGCAGUGGGGAAUUUUGGACAAUGGGCGCAAGCCUGAUUCAGCAAUGCCGCGUGCAGGAAGAAGGCCUUCGGGUUGUAAACUGCUUUUGUACGGAACGAAAAGGCUCUGGUUAAUACCUGGGGCACAUGACGGUACCGUAAGAAUAAGCACCGGCUAACUACGUGCCAGCCGCCGCGGUAAGAC